UUUGGUGGCGAUAGCAAAGAGGAUACACCUGUUCCCAUCCCGAACACAGUAGUUAAGCUCUUUAGCGCCGAUGGUAGUUGGGGGUUUCCCCCUGUGAGAGUAGGACGUUGCCAAGC
rnacentral:rRNA from 1 species